CUCCUACGGGGGGCAGCAGUAAGGAAUAUUGGUCAAUGGGCGGAAGCCUGAACCAGCCAUGCCGCGUGCAGGAAGACGGCCCUACGGGUUGUAAACUGCUUUUGCAGGGGAAUAAACCCCCGGACGUGUCCGGGGCUGAAUGUACCUUGAGAAUAAGGAUCGGCUAACUCCGUGCCAGCAGCCGCGGUAAUAC
rnacentral:rRNA from 1 species